GACGAACGCUGGCGGCGUGCUUAACGCAUGCAAGUCGAACGGAAAGGCCCUGCUUUUGUGGGUGCUCGAGUGGCGAACGGGUGAGUAACACGUGAGUAACCUGCCCUUGACUUUGGGAUAACUUCAGGAAACUGGGGCUAAUACCGGAUAGGAGCUCCUGCUGCAUGGUGGGGGUUGGAAAGUUUCGGCGGUUGGGGAUGGACUCGCGGCUUAUCAGCUUGUUGGUGGGGUAGUGGCUUACCAAGGCUUUGACGGGUAGCCGGCCUGAGAGGGUGACCGGCCACAUUGGGACUGAGAUACGGCCCAGACUCCUACGGGAGGCAGCAGUGGGGAAUAUUGCACAAUGGGCGGAAGCCUGAUGCAGCAACGCCGCGUGCGGGAUGACGGCCUUCGGGUUGUAAACCGCUUUCGCCUGUGACGAAGCGUGAGUGACGGUAAUGGGUAAAGAAGCACCGGCUAACUACGUG
rnacentral:rRNA from 1 species